UGGUUAUAAACUGAAAAACAAAACAGGAAACAGUACUGAUAAAGACAGGAAAGAAAAAUAGGUUUAGAAAUAAAAAUAGGGAUGCUCCAAAUGAUGGCUUCAGUUCUGUCUCAAUAAGGCUGUCUAAAGACAGCUCGGGCAGCAGGUAGCAGUUCAGGUCAAUCAUACCUUCUGGAGUGGUGGUGGUUCAGUCCCCACUGGCCUGGAGUUCUAAGGCAGCAGACUGCAACCUUGAACCUCAGUGCAGUUGAGGAGUGCAAGCAUAUUAUUUUCUGUUGUUUUUAAAUAAUGUGACAACUCCCAAUUGAAUAAUAACCAACAUCUGAGGCCGCGUCUGAGAUCCCACUCAUACUCUGCUGUAAAGGGCAGUUUUGAAGCACAGUAUCUGAAAGUUGGAUAGAAGUCAUUCCUCUCCUCCCUUCAAAGUAGGCCCCACACUCCAUGGAUGGAGGGGGCAUGAACCUGACCAGAGGCUAAGAGCCAAGGAAGCAACAAAGCAGGAACCCAGAGAAGGGCCUGUAUCCCCAUCCUCAGUUCUGGUCCAGUACACAGUGAAGACCCAGCAGGCAGCCAGAGACUUUGGAAGCAGAGAGAGUCUUAAUGAUUUCCUCCUCCUUGGCCUGAAGCCGCUCUUCACCACGCUUGCGGGUUUCCUUGGUCUUAGACCUGCAGGCCUCAGCCUGUUCCACCAGAGACUUCUUGCGAGCCUUGUCGCCUUCAGCUUGUGGAUAUGUUCCAUGAGAUUCCGUUUGUUUUUGAACACGUUACCCUUCACCUUCAGGUACAGGCUGUGAUACAUGUGGUAGUCAAUCUUCUUAGAUUCACGGUAUUGUCUGAGCAGCCGGUGCAGAAUUCUCAUCCUCUUCAUACAGGUUACCUUCUCGGGCAUUCAAGUGUUGGCAGUACCCUUUCGCUUACCUAUGCCCAUAUGCCUGCCUUUCCGGCAAGCCAAGGUGUUUUUCCAGCAUCAAGCCCGUGAAUGGAUAGUCACAGGCUUCCGGAUGAUCAGCCCAUCUUUGAUCAGCUUCUGGAUCUGCUGGCGGGAGUUGGCAUUGGCGAUUUUGUUAGUCUCAUUGGGGUCCAAACAGACCUUCUUUUUGCCACAGCAGAAGACACUGGAGGCAAGCCUCUUCUGAAGCCUGAGCAUACUCAUGGCUGCGGCCACAGAGGUGAAAGGAAAGCUAUUGUAAUGUUAUAUAUGGCACAGCUGACUCAGAUAGGGAGGUUACCUGCAUGGGCCUGAACUAAUCAAGUGGCCCUUAAAAACAAUGAGCUUUCUCAGACUAGUGGCAGAAAGAGAAAUCAGAUUUGAAGAAAGGAUUCGAUACACUGUUAUUAUUGGAUUUGAAGUUGGAGGGCACCAUAUGUAAGUGGCUUCUUAUAUCUGAAAUUGACCCCUUAACCAACAGCCAGCAAGAAAAUGGGACCUCAGUCCAACAACUGCAAGGAACUGAAUUCUGCCAACAGCCUAAAUAAGCCUGGGAAGUGGAUUCUUCCUACAACCUCUAGAUAAGAGCCCAACUCAGUCAACAUCUUCCUUGACUUGGGAUUUGUGAGACACUAAACAGGAAACAUGGACUUCCCAGGUGGCACAGUGAUAAAGAACCCGCCUGCCAAUGCAGGAGACACAAGAGACGCAGAUUCAAUCCCUGGGUUGGGAAGAUCCCCUGGAGGAGGAAAUGGCAACUUGCUCCAGUGUUGUUGCUUGGAAAAUUCCAUGGACAGAGGAGCCUGGUGGACUACAGUCUGUGAGGUUGCAAAGAGUCAGACAUG
ensembl:lncRNA